AACUGCGAUACUCUAAUGCGAGAAUACACUCGCUCGGUGUAGGAGCGAAAAGUUCACACUAGAAGCGAAGAUCGCGCUAUGUAAAAGGUUACGGAGGCGUGGAUCGCGCGCAACUUGGUUCGUUCCUCCUUCCUUCUCUCGAUCUUCGAGAGUGGAACGAGACGCACGACCUUCUCCAUCGACGACGAUCCGUGCGAAACAUCCUCGAAAGACGAUUGCAUAACUAUGCCCCCCGUGACUGACAACGACGUGCCGUGCAAACAACGACGAUGACGUUAAAGACGAUCGCGUCGCGAAAUCCCGCGAUGGAUUUUUCCGCGGCUGAUGCGAACAGUGGGUGUGACUGCGUCCGAUAUCGCGUUAGAAGCGAGUCACCCCGCGUUAUCACGACCGGAGACCGGAGAGAUCGGGCGAAAAUAUAUCCGAUCGCGGAUGGAACGGUAACGCAUCGUUUCCCACGUGGCACGUAUACUUGCGUGUGGGCGCGCGCGUGUCAGUGUUGUACGCGUGUCGAUUCGAUUCAAUUUCGUUCGCGAUUUUCCUCGUCUUCGAUCGUCGUUUCAAUAAAUUUACGCUCGUUCGCUACUUCGUGGAACGAACGACUUGGUACGUACGAGGAACGACUCGAUGGCAUUGGCAGCCCCAAAUAGAGAGUAGCUCGAUAAUUACGACGUAUCGUAAUUGUUUCACACCAGACGCGUCGAGCGGCGCGCAGCUGUCGAUUCAUGGAGAUAUUCUUUUUUCUCCUCGCAGCUGCAGCUGUACACAUACGCGCGCAAUACACGUUUCGCGUUAUCGAAACGAUGACUUUACACACGCGUAAUGUCGUCGAUUCUCGACGAGAUAUUUGCCGAAAAAGAAAAUUUCUCUCUCUCUCUCUCUCUUCGCUUUUUCUUUUCCCAUUCUUUUCCCGAAAAAUUGGUGACGCGCUGUCGAAUCUCAUCGAGCGGAGCGUAUUCGCGCGGUAAAUCGGACUUGGCCCGAUGCAACGCGCUUUAUCGCGCGUAACGAUUCGCGUAAGCGCAUAAUUUCUCUUCGAAGGUUCGGUCGCAACGCGUGGAUAAAAAUAACGAUCGUUCCCCAUCCCCCUCUAUCCACUUUUAUUCUUCUUCCUCGUCUUUAUCUCUCUUGGUAAAUUAUAGUUCGUGCCUUUUUUAAACGGGAAAAUCCGCGAGAGACGCGUUCGCGUAUAACAAUCGAAAAUAAAACGAGAUCAAAAGGAGGAGAGUGGACAGUGGUAGGAGAGGAGCGAUAACAAUCGCGCUACUUAUCGAGGGAAUUAAUGUAUCGGAUAUAUAUAUAUAUAUAUAUAUAUAUAGUGGAGCAUCAACGUUUCACGAAUCACGGACGAUAUCAUCUGGCUCGAUGAUAUCGGGAUAACGGGAAUACGAAUCAAUCGGUCGUCGACAAUUUCCUCGUCGGAUAGAAAGGAGGGAGAAGAGGGAAUCGCAACCCCGCGAUAUCAAGCCCGAAUAAGGGUAACGCGAGCAUCCAUCCCCGGCCCGAACGAUUAAUCGAACCUGUUCGAUCGUAUAUCUGGAAGGAAAGGAGAGAAGCUCGGCCGUGAUUGCGGGAUUACCCGUUGUCUCGGUCGGUAACGGGCACUCGCUCGACCUUCGAGAUAUCCGAUCUUAAUCCCUUUAAGGAAGACCUCCAACCCUCCUCC